AUAAAAGCGAAGAAAAAGACAUGUUUCUUAUCGGUGGAUGCAAAGAGAACAGGCGGUUGGUGGAAGUCCUGUGUGAAGCGAAAAGAAAAAUCACUUUGGAGCUUAUCAUCUGAAAACAGUAAGAUGAUACGGUUACAGCCGUUAUCUGUUUGAGUGCUAUUUUGAUAAGAAAUAGAACUAAGGUGGUACCACGUUCACGCGUCCUUAGA
rnacentral:ncRNA from 1 species